CGUAUAUCCAGGCUCUCCAAGCUUCCUGAAGUAUUCUCUUCUAUUCAGUAUAGGGAGAGGAAGCAAACCCUGCUGAAGGACGUGAAGGACUGACUUUACUAGCAUUUCCAGGCAAAAGAGGGGGGACUUCUGUCCAUAACAUUGGCAUCAGUCAUUGCAAACAAAAGAUGUGGAUUCUUCCAGUAUGUGUAUCCAAAAGAGUCACCAGUGAAUUCUUCAUACAAAGAGUUGAGAAUCUCCUAUCUAAAUCUGGAUGUGCAGAAGCCACGACGAAUGGAGCUGCUUGUCAAGGGUGGCUAGAGCAUUACGGAUACACAUUCUUUUAAACAUUUGCAUGCAUCUAAAUAACAAACAUCGUUGGAAGGAAUCUGUUUUGUAUGUUCGCUCACAUUGCUAGAUCAGCACUGCAAAUGAUGCAUUUCCACCUGUAUUUUGCCUUCUUUUUUGCUGGUUUCUGUAACUGCUAAAUCAAGGAUUGUUCAAACUUUUACUGACGAUUUCCUGAGCAUUUUGCCUCAGUGGGUCUAACGAUGCCUGUCUCACCAGAAGACAUGAAAAAAAUGAAGAAUAAGAGACUUGGCUGCUA